rnacentral:rRNA from 1 species
GCCCAAGAGAUCGGGAUAACACCUGGAAACAGAUGCUAAUACCGGAUAACAACAGAUGAUGCCUAUCAACUGUUUAAAAGAUGGUUCUGCUAUCACUCUUGGAUGGACCUGCGGUGCAUUAGCUAGUUGGUAGGGUAACGGCCUGCCAAGGCGAUGAUGCAUAGCCGAGUUGAGAGACUGAUCGGCCACAUUGGGACUGAGACACGGCCCAAACUCCUACGGGAGGCAGCAGCA